rnacentral:rRNA from 1 species
UGAGGAAUAUUGGUCAAUGGGCGCUAGCCUGAACCAGCCAAGUAGCGUGAAGGAUGAAGGCUCUCUGGGUCGUAAACUUCUUUUAUAUAAGAAUAAAGUGCAGUAUGUAUACUGUUUUGUAUGUAUUAUAUGAAUAAGGAUCGGCUAACUCCGUGCCAGCAGCCGCGGUAAUACGGAGGAUCCGAGCGUUAUCCGGAUUUAUUGGGUUUAAAGGGAGCGUAGGUGGACUGGUAAGUCAGUUGUGAAAGUUUGCGGCUCAACCGUAAAAUUGCAGUUGAUACUGUCAGUCUUGAGUACAGUAGAGGUGGGCGGAAUUCGUGGUGUAGCGGUGAAAUGCUUAGAUAUCACGAAGAACUCCGAUUGCGAAGGCAGCUCACUGGACUGCAACUGACACUGAUGCUCGAAAGUGUGGGUAUCAAACAGG